rnacentral:rRNA from 1 species
GAUGAACGCUGGCGGCGUGCCUAAUACAUGCAAGUCGAGCGAACAGACGAGGAGCUUGCUCCUUUGACGUUAGCGGCGGACGGGUGAGUAACACGUAGGUAACCUACCUAUAAGACUGGGAUAACUUCGGGAAACCGGAGCUAAUACCGGAUAAUAUUUCGAACCGCAUGGUUCGAUAGUGAAAGAUGGCUUUGCUAUCACUUAUAGAUGGACCUGCGCCGUAUUAGCUAGUUGGUAAGGUAACGGCUUACCAAGGCAACGAUACGUAGCCGACCUGAGAGGGUGAUCGGCCACACUGGAACUGAGACACGGUCCAGACUCCUACGGGAGGCAGCAGUAGGGAAUCUUCCGCAAUGGGCGAAAGCCUGACGGAGCAACGCCGCGUGAGUGAUGAAGGUCUUCGGAUCGUAAAACUCUGUUAUUAGGGAAGAACAAACGUGUAAGUAACUGUGCACGUCUUGACGGUACCUAAUCAGAAAGCCACGGCUAGCUACGUG